AUUGAACGCUGGCGGAAUGCCUUACACAUGCAAGUCGAACGGCAGCACGGGAGCAAUCCUGGUGGCGAGUGGCGAACGGGUGAGUAAUACAUCGGAACGUGCCCAAUCGUGGGGGAUAACGUAGCGAAAGCUACGCUAAUACCGCAUACGAUCUACGGAUGAAAGCAGGGGAUCGCAAGACCUUGCGCGAAUGGAGCGGCCGAUGGCAGAUUAGGAGUUGGUGGGGUAAAGGCCUACCAAGCCGUCGAUCUGUAGCUGGUCUGAGAGGACGACCAGCCACACUGGGACUGAGACACGGCCCAGACUCCUACGGGAGGCAGCAGUGGGGAAUAUUGGACAAUGGGCAAAGCCUGAUCCAGCAAUGCCGCGUGAGUGAUGAAGGCCUUAGGGUUGUAAAGCUCUUUUACCCGGGAUGAUAAUGACAGUACCGGGAGAA
rnacentral:rRNA from 1 species